UACGGAGGGUGCAAGCGUUAAUCGGAAUCACUGGGCGUAAAGCGCACGUAGGCGGCUUGGUAAGUCAGGGGUGAAAUCCCACAGCCCAACUGUGGAACUGCCUUUGAUACUGCCAGGCUUGAGUACCGGAGAGGGUGGCGGAAUUCCAGGUGUAGGAGUGAAAUCCGUAGAUAUCUGGAGGAACACCGGUGGCGAAGGCGGCCACCUGGACGGUAACUGACGCUGAGGUGCGAAAGCGUGGGGAGCAAACGGG
rnacentral:rRNA from 1 species